UUUUUCCUCAUAACUCAUCAGAUCUCGCCUCCUUCAUAGUGGUUAUCUGAACACUGUAGGAUCGUGAUGGAAAUUGUCUUUUGAUUAUUAAGGCCUAGGCUCAGACUGUCCCUUAGGAAUCUGUCUGUGUGCAUGUUGCUUCUAUGGAUUUGCACAUUGGAGGAUGCAUAGAAAACAUAUUUUUUUUUAAAAAAAUCCCACUGGCAUUUUUAACAUGCCAGGUUGUUUUGUGUUCUGCACCAGGUUUUCUUCACAAAACCUUUCUUUUUCAGAAAGCAUUGUACAUAAGUGAAAGAAAUUAUGUCUGAGCUGUAAUCACUCUUUAUAUUGAUUGUUAUACUCACAUGAUCAUAAAUAUUAGCCAUGUUUGGUGCUGUGGAGAAAUGAAGUGCUGCUGGCUCUGGUUUAAAGCAAGCGUUUGCAGGCGAUUGAAGACGGCAAUUUGGAGGAAAUGGAAGAGGAAGUACGGCUUAAGAAGCGAAAAAGACGAAGAAAUGUGGAUAAAGAUCCUGCGAAAGAAGAUGUGGAAAAAGCUAAGAAGAGAAGAGGCCGCCCUCCCGCUGAGAAACUGUCACCAAACCC
rnacentral:sRNA from 1 species